ensembl:lncRNA
AGGCUGAAGAUGGACCAAUAAACAAGGGGUGGGGGCUUUCCUUGAGCGCUGUGACUGCACUUUGGCUUACUUGAGCCAGCUCCCAGCGAGAAGGGUUGGGCUGCUUUUAAAUGUUUUCUUUUGCUUUCUGGUCUCCCUAUAGGGCUGGCAGCCUCUGGAGAGCUGUUACAUGUGGGCUGGUGUUCAGGGCUUACUGGCUAGCAGCCUGUCUCUCUGAAGCCAAUUCAGCUUGCUUGCGCUUGACAACAGGAAAAGGUUUCUGCACAUGACAAUAAUAAAGUAUUUUUGCACUUUAUUGCAUGUAUCUCCACUCUGGACUGCAAACCCUUGGGGACAGUAUUUCUUUUAUUUCUCUUCUUUCUCCUUCUAACCAUUCCUCACAGAGAGCAGAGGGGCAAUGCCCUGUGCCUGUCCUACUCUUUGAGUAAGUUGUUAGUUUCUGCAGGGAGACACAGCAGUUCAAAGAAACAAGUCUGGUAGGGCUGUUGGCUAAAGAAUAUAUACUGGUAUGUAAGAACAGAGAGCAUGGUAGAAGAUGAUGCAGUUACAAAGGUGGAAGAUUUUCUGAAGCUAUCACUCUUCUGAGGAGAUAAAGGAAAAACUCUCCCACCCCACUGCAGCUGAAUGACUGAGGUUGAGGAUCAGCACAAGAGCUGUUUGUUUUUGGAGACAGGAGAGCGGCAGCACUAUAGAAAAACUGAAGACUGGAGAAGAGCAAAUGAAGAAUGAAAGAAAUAGGAGGAGUGUGGAAAAAACUUUAUAAGCCGGAUAAAGGGGAGGAGUAGAAGAAAGAUGAGAAGAAAACUUCACAGGGUCAGACAGAAUCUGAUAAACUUUGACAAAAGCUUCAACACGCUUGGAAGGUGUUUUCUAAACCUUCUAGCCUUGUAACAUUUUCCCAUCAAUAGUCCAGAGGUGAAAUGAUUUAUGAAUACACAUGCUUACACAGUUCUCUGUGAGCAUCUUGAUAAGGUAAAUAUAUCACUCAGCAGGAAGCUUCAUUGCAUACUAGUCUCCUUCCUCAGAGAGAAAUUCUGUGUUGUGGGCCCCAGCUAGCCCUUUCUGACAUACACAGGGCGUGAAGUUUUGUUCUUCAUUAAAAAAUGUCCCAUCGAGAUGUUUAAAGACAGAUCUCCCUGUAAGGGUGAACACCCUGAAUUGCCCUCCAUCCAGUUCUUCUCCAUUUAAUUGGUAUAAAGCAGUUUCCCCUCGGCUACUUCCUCCCUUGAAAUUACACAAGUAGCCUCACUAGAAAGGCAUAGGUAAAUAUUUUAUACUGUGCACCAUGUGGAUUAGGAGCACAGCUCCCAUUAACCAGAGCUGGAAUCACGCAGCUGAUUUCCCCCUCACACUGUGCUUGAAGCAUACCCUACAGGAUGCAGAGACUGGGCUCCCAAGUGCCACCUUAUGAAGAAGGUGUGGAGCACUUUCAUUUAAUACUGCAUGUGUUUCCAUUAGCAGAGUCAAUUGCUCUCCAUCCUCAGUUUUAAGACUCCCUGUUUCUCUCUAUUACAGCUCUAUUUCCAAACACCAGCCAAUCCUCCCUAGUCCUCCCGUCCGAGCCCACAAGGUUUUGAUGAUAUAACACCGCAGCAUCUUGGCUUUCAUUUGGUUUAAACUUUUUAUUCGCAAUUAUAGAUGUGCUGAACACUGAGCACUUCUAUUUCUCAUGAGCUUACUGCUGCUUAGGAAAGCUGAUGCACCUAGUGUAUUGGCAAUUUGGGGUGGCAGCUUAGGGGGUGUCAGUAGAGCAGAGGCCAGCAUAUCCUGAAACCUGCAAAGCACAUGGGGAAAAGAAUGUGGCUGCCACUUUGAUUGAGAGCAACUGUUCACACAGGCGUGGUUCCUACGGAGUAGAAAAUUUAUGUAUCUGUGUAAAUUCUAAGCUAAAACUAGAAAAGGUUCAUCCCAUAUGUAAAAAUAGAGUUGUGGUUAAUAUACCGUACACUGUGGUCAAUUACUACUCUGGGAAGUGGUGUCUCAGCUACCUGUGCGGUGCAAUACAGCAACUGCCAGACGUUGGCUUUCCUCACUUCCAUUUUUACCGCAUAGCUAUCUCCUCCUGUCUAGGAAACUUACAAAAUAAAAUUCUGUCUGGUCUGUGCAAGUGGGGUUAUGUCACCGCAGGUAAUAACAAACUUGAGUGUCCAUUCAUGAAGCAAUCUUAAAGAAUGGUUUUGUUCUAAUUCAAAAUUUUAACUUUCAGAAAAUUAAAAUUUCCUCUUUUCUAAUGCGGUAAUUUUAAAAA